rfam:Pseudallescheria apiosperma strain IHEM 14462 SEQ_SAPIO_0088, whole genome shotgun sequence.
GGUCGUGUGGCCCAGUGGUUAAGGCAUGUGCUUUACAGCAGGAUCGCACAGGAUCGCAGGUUCGAUCCCUGCCACGAUCA